rnacentral:rRNA from 1 species
GUGCCAGCAGCCGCGGUAACACGUAGGGACCAAGCGUUGUCCGGAUUCAUUGGGCGUAAAGAGCUCGUAGGCGGUUCGAUAAGUCGGGUGUGAAACCUCCAGGCUCAACCUGGAGACGCCACCCGAUACUGUCGUGACUAGAGUCCAGUAGGGGAGCGUGGAAUUCCUGGUGUAGCGGUGAAAUGCGCAGAUAUCAGGAGGAACACCAGCGGCGAAGGCGGCGCUCUGGGCUGGAACUGACGCUGAGGAGCGAAAGCGUGGGGAGCGAACAGGAUUAGAUACCCUGGUAGUCC